rnacentral:tmRNA from 1 species
GGGGGUGUUCCGGAUUCGAUCCUUGGUUGGAGUGCGCCGCUGCCGUUCGAGAGUGUUAGGUCUCUCGUAAAUCCCCCUGCAAAACAAUAAUAGGCAACUACGAAGAAAUGCCCUUGGCCGCCUAAGUGCGGCCUCGUUGGUCCGGCGACACCUGCUAGCCGGUACUAACGUCGACAGCAGGCAUAGUGGAUUGAGCGACUCGCGGUCUUUCCACUGUAUCUUCAUCCGGGAGUUGGCUGGGGCUUAAGCGCGCGUGAACGCGUAACCCCGGCGAGAUCAAUCUCACGCUACAACGGUAGACGCGGUGUGCAAAGGUCAGGGACACGCGGGUUCAAUUCCCGCCACCUCCACCA